UGAUGUUACCUGCAGAAUAAGCACCGGCUAAUUCCGUGCCAGCAGCCGCGGUAAUACGGAAGGUGCAAGCGUUAAUCGGAAUUACUGGGCGUAAAGCGCGCGUAGGUGGUUUGUUAAGUUGGAUGUGAAAGCCCUGGGCUCAACCUAGGAACUGCAUCCAAAACUAACUCACUAGAGUACGAUAGAGGGAGGUAGAAUUCAUAGUGUAGCGGUGGAAUGCGUAGAUAUUAUGAAGAAUACCAGUGGCGAAGGCGGCCUCCUGGAUCUGUACUGACACUGAGGUGCGAAAGCGUGGGUAGCGAACAGGAUUAGAUACCCUGGUAGUCCACGCCGUAAACGAUGACAACUAGCUGUUGGGAGACAAUGUCUUUCAGUGGCGCAGCUAACGCUUUAAGUUGUCCGCCUGGGGAGUACGGCCGCAAGGCUAAAACUCAAAUGAAUUGACGGGGACCCGCACAAGCGGUGGAGCAUGUGGUUUAAUUCGAUGCAACGCGAAAAACCUUACCUACUCUUGACAUACUUGGAGGCUCUUGUAAUGAGAGUGUGCCUUUUGGAACCAAGAUACAGGUGCUGCAUGGCUGUCGUCAGCUCGUGUCGUGAGAUGUUCCGUUAAGUCGGAUAACGAGCGCAACCCUUACCCUUAUUUGCCAGCGAUUCGGUCGGGAACUAUAAGGGGACUGCCGGUGAUAAACCGGAGGAAGGUGAGGACGACGUCAAGUCAUCAUGGCCCUUACGAGUAGGGCUACACACGUGCUACAAUGGGAGAUACAGACGGACGCUAAGCCGCGAGGUGGUGCUAAUCCUAGAAAGUCUCUCGUAGUCCGGAUUGGAGUCUGCAACUCGACUCCAUGAAGUCGGAAUCGCUAGUAAUCGCGGAUCAGCAUGCCGCGGUGAAUACGUUCUCGGGUCUUGUACACACCGCCCGUCAUACCAUGGAAGUGGAUUGCACCAGAAGUAGAUAGUCUAACCUUCGGGAGGGCG
rnacentral:rRNA from 1 species